rnacentral:siRNA from 1 species
CGAGAAGGUCGUUGAAGCUACGUC